GGGACGGCGACCACCUCCCAUUUUUCAUCCGCAGUCUCCGCCGCCUUCUCGCCAUUGGCUGGGAGGGUGGACCAUGUUUUCCUGGACUACUUCGACAACAAUCCCCAUCAAAUCUGUCGGGAACAGAAACAACCCCCUCCAAGCGCACCCAGAAGACUUUGUGAAGGAGCAGACUUUGUGAAGGAGCAGAGGA